AACGAACGCUGGCGGCAUGCCUAACACAUGCAAGUCGAACGACAUCUUCGGGUCUAGUGGCGCACGGGUGCGUAACGCGUGGGAAUCUGCCCUUUGGUUCGGAAUAACAGUUGGAAACGACUGCUAAUACCGGAUGAUGACGAAAGUCCAAAGAUUUAUCGCCAGAGGAUGAGCCCGCGCAGGAUUAGCUAGUUGGUGUGGUAAAGGCGCACCAAGGCGACGAUCCUUAGCUGGUCUGAGAGGAUGAUCAGCCACACUGGGACUGAGACACGGCCCAGACUCCUACGGGAGGCAGCAGGGGGGAAUAUUGGACAAUGGGCGAAGGCCUGAUCCAGCAAUGCCGCGUGAGUGAUGAAGGCCUUAGGGUUGUAAAGCUCUUUUACCCGGGAUGAUAAUGACAGUACCGGGAGAAUAAGCUCCGGCUAACUCCGUGCCAGCAGCCGCCGCGG
rnacentral:rRNA from 1 species